rnacentral:rRNA from 1 species
CCUACGGGUGGCAGCAGUGGGGAAUAUUGCACAAUGGGGGGAACCCUGAUGCAGCGACGCCGCGUGAGUGAAGAAGUAUUUCGGUAUGUAAAGCUCUAUCAGCAGGGAAGAAGAUGACGGUACCUGAGUAAGAAGCCCCGGCUAACUACGUGCCAGCAGCCGCGGUAAUACGUAGGGGGCAAGCGUUAUCCGGAUUUACUGGGUGUAAAGGGAGCGCAGACGGCAGCGUAAGUCUGAAGUGAAAGCCCGCGGCUUAACCGCGGGACUGCUUUGGAAACUACGCGGCUUGAGUGUCGGAGGGGCAGGCGGAAUUCCUGGUGUAGCGGUGAAAUGCGUAGAUAUCAGGAAGAACACCGGUGGCGAAGGCGGCCUGCUGGACGACAACUGACGUUGAGGCUCGAAGGCGUGGGGAGCGAACAGGAUUAGAUACCCCAGUAGUC